rnacentral:rRNA from 1 species
GACGAACGCUGGCGGCGUGCUUGACACAUGCAAGUCGAACGGAAAGGCCCUGCUUUUGUGGGGUGCUCGAGUGGCGAACGGGUGAGUAACACGUGAGUAACCUGCCCUUGACUUCGGGAUAACUUCAGGAAACUGGGGCUAAUACCGGAUAGGAGCUCCUGCUGCAUGGUGGGGGUUGGAAAGUUUCGGCGGUUGGGGAUGGACUCGCGGCUUAUCAGCUUGUUGGUGGGGUAGUGGCUUACCAAGGCUUUGACGGGUAGCCGGCCUGAGAGGGUGACCGGCCACAUUGGGGCUGAGAUACGGCCCAGACUCCUACGGGAGGCAGCAGUGGGGAAUAUUGCACAAUGGGCGGAAGCCUGAUGCAGCAACGCCGCGUGCGGGAUGACGGCCUUCGGGUUGUAAACCGCUUUCGCCUGUGACGAAGCGUGAGUGACGGUAAUGGGUAAAGAAGCACCGGCUAACUACGUGCCAGCAGCCGCGGUGAUACGUAGGGUGCGAGCGUUGUCCGGAUUUAUUGGGCGUAAAGGGCUCGUAGGUGGUUGAUCGCGUCGGAAGUGUAAUCUUGGGGCUUAACCCUGAGCGUGCUUUCGAUACGGGUUGACUUGAGGAAGGUAGGGGAGAAUGGAAUUCCUGGUGGAGCGGUGGAAUGCGCAGAUAUCAGGAGGAACACCAGUGGCGAAGGCGGUUCUCUGGGCCUUUCCUGACGCUGAGGAGCGAAAGCGUGGGGAGCGAACAGGCUUAGAUACCCUGGUAGUCCACGCUGUAAACGGUGGGUACUAGGUGUGGGGUCCAUUCCACGGGUUCCGUGCCGUAGCUAACGCUUUAAGUACCCCGCCUGGGGAGUACGGCCGCAAGGCUAAAACUCAAAGGAAUUGACGGGGCCCCGCACAAGCGGCGGAGCAUGCGGAUUAAUUCGAUGCAACGCGUAGAACCUUACCUGGGUUUGACAUGGAUCGGGAGUGCUCAGAGAUGGGUGUGCCUCUUUUGGGGUCGGUUCACAGGUGGUGCAUGGCUGUCGUCAGCUCGUGUCGUGAGAUGUUGGGUUAAGUCCCGCAACGAGCGCAACCCUUGUUCACUGUUGCCAGCACGUUAUGGUGGGGACUCAGUGGAGACCGCCGGGGUCAACUCGGAGGAAGGUGGGGAUGACGUCAAGUCAUCAUGCCCCUUAUGUCCAGGGCUUCACGCAUGCUACAAUGGCUGGUACAGAGAGUGGCGAGCCUGUGAGGGUGAGCGAAUCUCGGAAAGUCGGUCUCAGUUCGGAUUGGGGUCUGCAACUCGACCUCAUGAAGUCGGAGUCGCUAGUAAUCGCAGGUCAGCAACGCUGCGGUGAAUACGUUCCCGGG